rnacentral:rRNA from 1 species
UACAGAGGUCCCAAGCGUUGUUCGGAUUCACUGGGCGUAAAGGGUGCGUAGGCGGUCGGGUAAGUCUGACGUGAAAUCUCCAAGCUCAACUUGGAAAUGGCGUCGGAUACUAUUCGGCUUGAGGAGUGGAGGGGAGACUGGAAUUCUCAGUGUAGCAGUGAAAUGCGCAGAUAUCAGGAGGAACACCGAUGGCGAAGGCAGGUCUCUGGGCCAUAACUGACGCUGAGAAGCGAAAGCAUGGGGAGCGAACAGG